UUCGGACCAGCACCUCUGGCACCACUGCCGGCCGACGAAGGAAAUUUGAAGGAGGAACAAAUGUGAUGGAAGGGAAAGGCAAAACGUCAAACAAGAUUACGGGCAAAAAAUUAGAAGUCGCGUGAUUAAGGUAGAUUGAAUUUAUUUACAGUUAACUAUUUUAUUUGAAAUUUGAGAAGUUUAAGCUAGAAGUGGGCGAUAUAAUAACUACUGAUCAGAGCUAGAACACACAUGUUGAAUUGAUUGAAGCUACGACACUACAUUAAAAUUACAUGCAAACAGAAAAGGGAGUUAAGAGCUGUAAAUCGUGAAAUAAAAGGAGAAAGUGAAAGUCAUUCGCAGGAGGGAAACGAAGAAACUAACUCUUUGAUCUGCUUUGAAGUGGCAGAUUUCACGGAUUUUUUCUUCAACUUCGACGGUUUCCGAACAAAAUCAAAGAGUUACGCAAACCUAACCUCAAAGCAUGGCUUUCCAGACUCCAGAAGAUGGUAACGAACGGCUGGCGACCUGUUUGAUGUGUGGUGGACCAGAGGAUGAUGAUUUCAACAUGGUGAGUUGCAAUGAAUGCAAGAUGUGGGCUCAUUUCAAAUGCGCCGAAGUAACGGAUGAAGUUAAAAAUGCCGAUUGGUUCUGCCAAGAGUGCACCAAAUCUCGCGAGACAUACUUGCGGGUCUCGAAGAAAAGGACCUCGAAGAAAGGGUCUACAAAGAGUGGAGUUGAUUCGAUACGGAGCGGAGGUUCUUCCGUCGCUGCACAUGUCGCUGAAAUAGAAGAAGAACUACGUGCGAGGGAGAGUGCUCUAUCGGAUCAAAU